UACGGAGGGCGCAAGCGUUGUUCGGAAUCACUGGGCGUAAAGCGCGUGUAGGCGGCCGGGCAAGUCGGAUGUGAAAUCCCGAGGCUCAACCUCGGAACUGCAUUCGAUACUGCGUGGCUAGAGUGCUGGAGAGGAGACUGGAAUUUACGGUGUAGCAGUGAAAUGCGUAGAUAUCGGGAGGAACACCAGUGGCGAAGGCGACUACCUGGCCUGUUCUUGACGCUGAGGCGCGAAAGCUAGGGGAGCAAACGGG
rnacentral:rRNA from 1 species